rnacentral:lncRNA from 1 species
GUCCGAGGGGUCUCCGAGGUGCCGGCGAUGUUAACAAGUUCCCGGGUUUCGGCACCAGAUGUCCCGCGAGACUGUCUUGCCGGCAAGAACCACACAGGACAUUCGGAUCCUUCUGCAGUAAAGCUUUAAUGCGUCUUGAGAGGAGAGCAUAAGCUUACCAGAGCAGAGACCCUGAGCCAAGAAUUCCAUCCCCUAAUAAAGGCUCACAAACUCUGAGCGAUGCGUGUACAGCUGGGAUAGGUGCAUGACUCGUCACCCUAUAUGACGCCAUGGAAUAGGCAGGGCUAGGCAGUGGAAAAACACUGGGCACAUGGAUACCAACGUUGUUUACUUGAUCUGGCAGCGGAUGUCAGCGCCAUCUUGUAAUGGCGAAUGUGAGUGCGGCUCCUCACAGAAAGGAACUGAGAUCCCCCACUUCCCAGCUCCUUAGUUCCUAGCCAACAGCCUCUGCCAAUCUGUUCACCACACAAUGGCGUCUUCUCCACCAUGGGGCCUUGAGACACCACAGGAGCUGCUCCCCACAGAGUGGAGGUGUCACCUUCGCCAGAUGCUGACUGAUUGCAGAUGAGUGGGCAACAUGACUGUUCAGGCUAUUGUGUUCUGGGUAAUUGGUUACAUGGGUGUACAUGACUGUUAGAGGGUAUUGUGUCCUAGAGUAAUUGGUUACACGGCCAUAACCACUGAUAUACACAUAGGUAGAUGAGAUUUGUACCAGAAAGGCCGCUCCCAAGUUCUUGGUCCUGCUCCUACCAGAAGUGUGCCUAUUGAACUAUUGAGGUCCACUGCAGAGGGCUGCUGGCAAAAGAGAUGGCGACCGUAAUAUACUGAACACUGUGCUUGGCCUUCGUGGUGAUUGAUAGUGAAAAUGACUUCUGCAAGAUGAGGCAACUGUACUGCUGUGAGUUCCCAAGAGGAGGGAUCUAUACGGAGACCUACUCACUUGAAGACCUUGAAAAAGUUAGUGAGGGAAAAUAGAGGAGGAAAAUUGGAGGGAGACGAGUAGCCUCUUCAAACACAGUGACACAAGGGGCAAAAGGACGGUGAAGAAGGAAAAUGUGUCAAAUUCUGAGGUGCUUUGCACACAACACUGGUGUGCUCAUCCCUCUUCUCCAGAGAUCUAGAAAAACCGAGUGGGGAAAACCCCUGUUUGCUUGCUCCUGAACCGAAGUCUUCAGCUGCACGUUCAAGGUCAUUUCUGCCACCUGCCUGCCCCAGCUCAACAGACGAUGCCAUGUGCCGUGAAAUUUUCUAACCACAUCUCACAGAUAAUCUGAUUUACCUUAAUAAAAAUCCUGUAAGGUGUCUUGAUUUAUUAGUGGCUGC